UACAGAGGUCUCAAGCGUUGUUCGGAUUCAUUGGGCGUAAAGGGCGCGUAGGCUGCGGGGCAAGUCGGGUGUGAAAUCUCAGAGCUCAACUCUGAAACUGCACUCGAUACUGCUCUGCUUGAGGACUGGAGAGGAGACUGGAAUUCACGGUGUAGCAGUGAAAUGCGUAGAUAUCGUGAGGAAGACCAGUGGCGAAGGCGGGUCUCUGGACAGUUCCUGACGCUGAGGCGCGAAGGCCAGGGGAGCAAACGGG
rnacentral:rRNA from 1 species